AGAAUUUGAUCUUGGUUCAGGAUGAACGCUGGCGGUGUGCUUAACACAUGCAAGUCGAACGGAGUUUUAAACGGAAGUCCUCGGAUGGAAGUUUAGAAACUUAGUGGCGGACGGGUGAGUAACGCGCGGGUAACCUGCCUCAUACAGGGGGAUAACAGUCGGAAACGAUUGCUAAAACCGCAUAACAUAGCGAAACCGCAUGAUUUUUGCUAUCAAAUAUUUAUAGGUAUGAGAUGGGCCCGCGUCUGAUUAGCUAGUUGGUGGGGUAAUGGCCUACCAAGGCGACGAUCAGUAGCCGGCUUGAGAGAGUGACCGGCCACAUUGGGACUGAGACACGGCCCAAACUCCUACGGGAGGCAGCAGUGGGGAAUAUUGGACAAUGGGGGAAACCCUGAUCCAGCCGACGCCGCGUGAGUGAAGAAGUAUUUCGGUAUGUAAAGCUCUAUCAGCAGGGAAGAUAAUGACAGUACCUGACUAAGAAGCCCCGGCUAACUACGUGCCAGCCGCGGC
rnacentral:rRNA from 1 species